GGCGGCGCCUGGACCCUGAGGAGACGUCGUCGCCUCAGGCUUCGCGCGGGGAGCGCGGCACGCCGGGUGUGUUUCAAGCUGCGCCUCAGGCCGGGUGCGCGGCGGGCAGCGCCGGGACCGCCGCGGACAGGGACCGGUAAGGUCGGGGCGUGGCGCGGCCCAAGCGUUCCCUGAGGGGAGUCAAGGGGAGAUGAAAAGGGUUCUGCGGCUGCGGUUUCGCGGGUCACGACACCGCACCUGGCCUAGCAGCCGGUCUCUGUGUCGCUGCAGGAUGUGAUCUUCUGCCUGGAAUAUCUCCAGUUCUUAGAAGUUUCAGUGAACACCUGAGGAGAGACCCAGGAAAACUGACUAACUUGCCUGAAGUUACUGAAGACACCACCUUAAAUACCAUCUUCAGCUGAAGAUAAAAGAAGACCUUGAGAGUGGGGACAAUAAACAAGUGUGGGGAUUCUACGGACAAUUAUGGAAAUAUGUCCAUUGGGUGAUUCUAUGGACCCAAUACAUCUGCUGUAAGCUGUGCCUCUCCUAGACUAGACAUCCAAUGUCCUACUGUGUUUGGGGACUUGAUCAUGCUUUUGGUUCCUGAGUAUUAAUGUGACUUGGAUCACGUGCUCAACAACAUUCAAAAUAUCUAUAUAUGUCCUUUGCCCUGGGUAAUCAAGGAUCUUAUUAUUUCUGUUGCUAUCAGAGAAAACAUUUCAGCAAUGGAAUAUCCUACUGUGAGCUCUACUCAACCAAGAAAUACAUAACUAGCCAUGAGAUUGAUGGGGACAGAGGAACUGACAAUGAUGUUUAAACAGAAGUAUGAGAGCACAAUAACCUGGAAACUAAAACCAUCAGGGAACAGGACUCAAACAGGAAUGGAAUCAAUUCAGACCGUUCCCUUCACCUUCUCUUUGUGGAUGGUGAACAUUUAGGCUGUGCUGAGAGCUCAGGUGUCCGGUUAUAUGAUGCCAAUAUCACAGGAUCAUAUUUGUACACAUCCUUGAUCAACCAAAGGUUUAUGUCCUGGGUCUCCAUCUGGGUCUCUCACUGUGCCGAGCACCACUGUACAACAGACAGCAAUGGUAAGUACUCAGCUUCUUCCUCUCGCUGGGCCCCCGAGAAUGUCAGGGCAGCUUUGCCCCCAGUGAUGGAGUCUGAGAACUGGGCAGUGGUCCAGGAGUGUUUAUUGUUUUUAUCAUAAAUCAGUAUCCUGGGGACUUGGCCACACUUCUGCUGUAACAAAUGUGUAUACUGACCAUUGGUGACUGCCCCAGUGCUGCAGCCACAGGUGAGAAUGAUUGUGUCUCCUGGGGACACAGUCAGUGAGGGCUCCUGAGUCACCACAGCCUGAGAAUUGGACCCUGAAAUGAAAACAGAUACAUGUCAGGAGUGAAGAAUAAAGGCAGACGGAUCCCUCCAGAGGCUGGUCUCUGAAAUGUCCAUGAACCUGGGCAGUGAGUGAGGAGGGGGAGGAGGAGGAGAGGAGUCCAGGUCAUGGUGAAGACUUUUCAGGGUCCCCUGACUCAUGCUGGUGCUGGUCUCUGGGGUGUCCUUUUAUCUCCCCUUCAACUCCCUGUGUAAAGGGUGUGCUUGGAGGGACAUUUUGCAAAUAUGAGCCCACAGUACCAUCCAAUUCUGUGUCCUCAGCCCAGUUUGUUGCUUCAAUCUCAGGAGGAGGCUGUAGUGGUUGUGAAUUCCUGUGAGCUCUGAGUCUGUCCCUUGAGAGGAAGCACCUGCUGUGACCUCUAACUCAGGUCAUGAGCAUGGGCACAGGGCCCAUUCAAU